GCAUGCCUACAGCAUAGCGUUAAUGCACUAGAUUCCAUUAGAACUCCAUAGUUAAGCACUCCCAGGCUACAGUAGUACUGGGAUGGGUGACCGUCCGGGAAGUCCUACUGUUUUACAUGCC
rnacentral:rRNA from 1 species